CUCAACUCGGGAAACUGAUCUAAAGGUGCACCAUAAAUAAGCUCUUUCCAAACAGAUACACAAAGUCCAUGAGGGGGAGCUGACGGGAGAUCCGGAGCAACUGAGGGUAAAGGUCGGCGAUUGGGUAAGGAUCAAGGUCCACAAAAGAAAGUGGGCGGAUCCCAGGUGGACUGGACCGUACGAAGUGAAGGAGGUUACCUCACACUCAGUCCAGGUCAAAGGAGCCGAGGACCUUGUUCUGCGGAUCCAGGGAGUGAAUCCCGGAUAUAGGGGACGUUCCAGGAGAGACACCACCCCAUCUAGUGGAGACCCC
ensembl:lncRNA